UGCUUGUUUUUGAAAGGCAUUAAUGGGCUUUGGAGGCUUUAUUAGCUUUAAUGGAGAAGCAGAAAUCAGCAUAACCCUCUGAGUGCAGUUUAGAUGCUAAUCUACCGCUUUCUUUACAUCUAGCAGCCCAGGUAGACACAAGGAGUCAGCUUGCAUCUGUAAGCCCUCUGCAAAGCAUUUCUGCUCUGCCCCUUCUCUAGACCUUCCAGUGCAGACAGGUCUCCCUGUGUCCAGUUCUUAAAAUUAUCUCUUCAGAAAGAUCCCAGGUGCUAUGCUCAUCAGAGCUGCCAUGCCCAAAAGCUGGAUGCAUGGACCCAUGAAGGAAAGCCACAACCCAGAAGCAGGUGCCUAAGUAACCUUUAUGUUGAGUGAUUUGGAAAAAGUUGUCAUUCUCGUCUUCCCCAUGAACAAGACUCAGAGCUGCUAGGAGGAGGAGGAGUAGGGGGAAAGUUAGCUAACACAAAUAAAGCUUUUAAAACUUAAAUAACCUUGAUGUGC
rnacentral:lncRNA from 1 species